rnacentral:rRNA from 1 species
AUUGAACGCUGGCGGCAUGCCUAACACAUGCAAGUCGAACGAGGCAGCAAUGCCUAGUGGCGGACGGGUGAGGAAUGCGUAGGAAUCUGCCUUUGAGUGGGGGAUAGCCCAGGGAAACUUGGAGUAAUACCGCAUGAUCUUGAGAGAGCAAAGCGGGGGAUCGCAAGACCUCGCGCUCGGAGAGGAGCCUACGUCGGAUUAGCUAGUUGGUGAGGUAAUGGCUCACCAAGGCUGCGAUCCGUAACUGGUCUGAGAGGACGACCAGUCACACUGGAAUUGAGAGACGGUCAGAGCUCCUACGGAAGGCAGCAUGGGGAAAUAUGGGACAAGGGGCGCAGGCCUAAUCCAGAAAGGCCGGUUGUGUGAAGAAGGCCUUCGGGUUGUAAAGCCCUUUAGGCUGGAAAGAAAAAGCUUCUCCUAAUACGGGGAGCCUUGACGGUACCAGCAGAAUAAGCACCGGCUAACUCUGUGCCAGCAGCCGCGGUAA